AGUGAAUAGAUACCCGGGUAGUCCAUGCCGUAAACGUUGGGCACUAGGUGUGGGGGACAUUCCACGUUUUCCGCGCCGUAGCUAAACGCAUUAAGUGCCCCGCCUGGGGAGUACGGCCGCAAGGCUAAAACUCAAAGGAAUUGACGGGGGCCCGCACAAGCGGCGGAGCAUGCGGAUUAAUUCGAUGCAACGCGAAGAACCUUACCAAGGCUUGACAUGGACCGGAUCGCUGCAGAAAUGUGGUUUCUCCUUUUGGGGCCGGUUCACAGGUGGUGCAUGGUUGUCGUCAGCUCGUGUCGUGAGAUGUCGGGUUAAGUCCCGCAACGAGCGCAACCCUCGUUCCAUGUUGCCAGCACGUGAUGGUGGGGACUCAUGGGAGACUGCCGGGGUCAACUCGGAGGAAGGUGGGGACGACGUCAAAUCAUCAUGCCCCUUAUGUCUUGGGCUUCACGCAUGCUACAAUGGCCGGUACAAAGGGUUGCGAUACUGUGAGGUGGAGCUAAUCCCAAAAAGCCGGUCUCAGUUCGAAUUGGGGUCUGCAACUC
rnacentral:rRNA from 1 species